rnacentral:rRNA from 1 species
GAUGAACGCUGGCGGCAUGCCUAAUACAUGCAAGUCGAGCGAACAGAUGAGGAGCUUGCUCCUCUGACGUUAGCGGCGGACGGGUGAGUAACACGUGGAUAACCUACCUAUAAGACUGGGAUAACUUCGGGAAACCGGAGCUAAUACCGGAUAAUAUAUUGAACCGCAUGGUUCAAUAGUGAAAGACGGUUUUGCUGUCACUUAUAGAUGGAUCCGCGCCGCAUUAGCUAGUUGGUAAGGUAACGGCUUACCAAGGCAACGAUGCGUAGCCGACCUGAGAGGGUGAUCGGCCACACUGGAACUGAGACACGGUCCAGACUCCUACGGGAGGCAGCAGUAGGGAAUCUUCCGCAAUGGGCGAAAGCUUGACGGAGCAACGCCGCGUGAGUGAUGAAGGUCUUCGGAUCGUAAAACUCUGUUAUUAGGGAAGAACAAAUGUGUAAGUAACUAUGCACGUCUUGACGGUACCUAAUCAGAAAGCCACGGCUAACUACGUG